UCUAAUGUGAAUGUGCUAGCGUUCAGAAAAUUAUUUGUUCAUUUUUGCUUUUUGAGGCAUAUACCAGGAUAUAACUUUGUUGUUGAAAAUCCAUUAAAGAGAUGGAAGAUAAAAUUAUUUGCAAUCAAAUCUGAGAUGCAUACUAUUGAAUGCCAAUAUUUAUGCUAGAUCUUUGAAUAGUUUAGUGUCCAGUAUAUGAAGCAGUGAAGUGAGAGCAUGUAGUAAAGGUAGGGUAGGUAUGAUUUUAUCUCAUGUUGUGUGUGAAGCAUCCUAGCAAUUACUCAUGUGGUUAGAUAAUGGUAUAUUUAGGGUGGGCCUUUAGCUGCUGACCUGAAAAUUAGAAAGCUGGCAGUUUAUUUGUAUUAAUUCCUCUGUUGCCAUUUCCUAGAAUUUCUUACUUUUUUAAUAGGUGUUAUGCUUUACAGAAUCAUGGCACUUGUGAUGUUAUCUGCUACUCAUUUGCGGGCCUUGCGGUUGUCGUUCUCAUGGCUCUGCCAUUCGCGUUUAUGCAGGCUGAGGAGGCGAGCCAUCAGUGUGAGUUUCAGGAAGAGAUGACAACACAAGUGAUCUUGAUUGGUAACAUGUUUGGAAUUGUUGUGCAUGCAUGGUACGAACAUGUGCAACACUAACAAAACGAAAACAAAAGUGAGCUUGUGGUUUGCGGUGCUUUCCCUCUGAAUUUUCUCAUUAGUAUGUCCAGAAAGGCAUAUUAGUGGAAGAGCAUACAAGAAAACCUUAACAUGUUAGGAACUUUUUCAUGUACUAGAAGGUUGUUGUACAGAAAUUUUCUUCUGAAACCAUCUCAUAAUCUUAGAUUUCCCAUUAGUUGGUUGUUGGUCAGUUCUAAAACUAUCUGUACAUUUUGCCCAAGGAAUUUGUUUUCUUAUAGUUCAUUGAUUAUUUUGGAUUAACUGAAUGUGAUCUUCCCAAUCUAAUAUAUGUACUUUUAGCUCUAAGGACUAGCAAGACUUAAUGAUGCAGGUUGUGAUUGUGAAUGAAGUACCAGUUGUUGCUAAUUUCGUAUUUUUGUUUGUACAACUCAGGUGUUUGAUGCAUUUCUUCUCCAGAAAAGGGAUAAGUAUCUGAGGUCAUAUCGGAUCGAGUGAUAGCAGAGGGUCUCAGGCCUGAUGAAUCGAAUGUUGACGUGGGACCAGUUUUUGUGAUGUCCAGCUCAUCGUCCACUGAGGCACCGCAGAAGAUGGUCCAAGGCAAAGUUAGGCAUCUUCCUGUAGUGUGGUCAAUGCCAUGUUGGACACUGCCAAGUUCCUCUGUGAUGCAAUUUCAAGAAUGGAAAAGGUAGCAGAACAAGGCAGUGCUAUAGCAACUGCUGUGGAAGGGGUCGAUGGGGAAAUAGAUUUGCAGAUAUAGUCUUUUCCAGUUUCUCAAGGCCACCCAUGACAUAUUCUAUUCAGGCCUCUUUGAUUAACUAGCUGAUGUUAUAUUUUGGGUCCUUCAGGUCCUCACACACUCAUAGAAAAUCUUCGAGAUCAUA